rnacentral:rRNA from 1 species
CCUUAGAGUUUGAUCCUGGCUCAGAGCGAACGCUGGCGGCAGGCUUAACACAUGCAAGUCGAGCGGGCGUAGCAAUACGUCAGCGGCAGACGGGUGAGUAACGCGUGGGAACGUACCUUUUGGUUCGGAACAACACAGGGAAACUUGUGCUAAUACCGGAUAAGCCCUUACGGGGAAAGAUUUAUCGCCGAAAGAUCGGCCCGCGUCUGAUUAGCUAGUUGGUGAGGUAACGGCUCACCAAGGCGACGAUCAGUAGCUGGUCUGAGAGGAUGAUCAGCCACAUUGGGACUGAGACACGGCCCAAACUCCUACGGGAGGCAGCAGUGGGGAAUAUUGGACAAUGGGGGCAACCCUGAUCCAGCCAUGCCGCGUGAGUGAUGAAGGCCCUAGGGUUGUAAAGCUCUUUUGUGCGGGAAGAUAAUGACGGUACCGCAAGAAUAAGCCCCGGCUAACUUCGUGCCAGCAGCCGCGGUAAUACGAAGGGGGCUAGCGUUGCUCGGAAUCACUGGGCGUAAAGGGUGCGUAGGCGGAUCUUUAAGUCAGAGGUGAAAGCCUGGAGCUCAACUCCAGAACUGCCUUUGAUACUGGGGAUCUUGAGUUCGGGAGAGGUGAGUGGAACUGCGAGUGUAGAGGUGAAAUUCGUAGAUAUUCGCAAGAACACCAGUGGCGAAGGCGGCUCACUGGCCCGAUACUGACGCUGAGGCACGAAAGCGUGGGGAGCAAACAGGAUUAGAUACCCUGGUAGUCCACGCCGUA